ACGACCUUACUUGAAUAGGAUCUGUUCUAUAGGAUCGUACAUCUGUGUCCUUGUGUUAUAAGGAGACAGGAACUAAAGUCUGGUGGAUGAAAUCUGACCGUGUGAUCAGAGCGUGAUUAACAGCGUUACGGUCUAUGGCCGUUGAUGCAGUAGAUGAUCGUUCUCAGCCAUCUGAUGGCUGGGAUGGUCACACGGUUGUCUGACAGACU